rnacentral:rRNA from 2 species
AUAUUAGGUUAAGUUAUUAAGGGCGUAUGGUGGAUGCCUUGGCACUAGGAGCCGAUGAAGGACGUGACUAACUGCGAUAUGCUUCGGGGAGUUGUAAGUAAACUAUGAUCCGGAGAUUUCCGAAUAGGGAAACCUAACAGGUUUUACCGCCUGUUAUCACUAAGUGAAUUCAUAGCUUAGUUGAAGGUAGACGUGGGGAACUGAAACAUCUAAGUACCCACAGGAAGAGAAAGAAAUUCGAUUCCCUCAGUAGCGGCGAGCGAACCGGGAAGAGCCCAAACUAAGAAGCUUGCUUCUUAGGGUUGUAGGACUGAACAUCUGAGUUACCAAGAAACGAAGUAGUUGAAUAAUCUGGGAAGAUUAGCCAAAGAGAGUGAUAGCCUCGUAAACGAAACUUCGUUUCCUCAGUUCAGGAUCCUGAGUACGGCGGAACACGUGAAACUCCGUCGGAAUCCGGGAGGACCAUCUCCCAAGGCUAAAUACUACCUAGUGACCGAUAGUGAACCAG